rnacentral:rRNA from 1 species
UACGUAGGGGGCGAGCGUUGUCCGGAAUUAUUGGGCGUAAAGCGCACGCAGGCGGUUCGCUAAGUUCGAAGUGACAAUCACCGGCUUAACCGGUGAACGAUUUCGAAAACUGGCGGACUGGAGAGCGAGGGAGGGACAUGGAACUCCGGGUGGAGCGGUGAGAUGCGUAGAUAUUCGGAAGAACACCAGUGGCGAAGGCGACUUACUGGACACAUAUUGACGCUGAGGUGCGAAAGCGUGGGGAGCAAACAGG